AACGAACGCUGGCGGCAGGCCUAACACAUGCAAGUCGAGCGAGGACUUCGGUCCUAGCGGCGGACGGGUGAGUAACGCGUGGGAACGUGCCCCUUGGUACGGAAUAGCCCCGGGAAACUGGGAGUAAUACCGUAUGAGCUCUACGGAGGAAAGAUUUAUCGCCAAGGGAUCGGCCCGCGUUGGAUUAGGUAGUUGGUGGGGUAAUGGCCUACCAAGCCGACGAUCCAUAGCUGGUUUGAGAGGAUGAUCAGCCACACUGGGACUGAGACACGGCCCAGACUCCUACGGGAGGCAGCAGUGGGGAAUCUUAGACAAUGGGCGCAAGCCUGAUCUAGCCAUGCCGCGUGAGCGAUGAAGGCCUUAGGGUUGUAAAGCUCUUUCAGCUGGGAAGAUAAUGACUGUACCAGCAGAAGAAGCCCCGGCUAACUCCGUGCCAGCCGCCGCAGUAAGAC
rnacentral:rRNA from 1 species